rnacentral:rRNA from 1 species
GCGCAGCAGGCGCGAAACCUUCGCAAUGCGGGAAACCGCGACGAGGGGACUCCCAGUGCCUACGCUCAGCGUAGGCUGUUCCCGAGCCUAGAAAGCUCGGGGAGUAAGGGCUGGGUAAGACGGGUGCCAGCCGCCGCGGUAAUACCCGCAGCCCGAGUGGUGGCCACUAUUAUUGGGCCUAAAGCGUCCGUAGCCGGCCCGGUAAAUGCCUGGGUAAAUCGUGAGGCCUAACCUCACGAAUUCCGGGUAGACUGCCGGGCUAGGGACCGGAGGAGGGAGAGGGUACUCCAGGGGUAGGGGUGAAAUCCUGUAAUCCCCUGGAGGACCACCGGUGGCGAAGGCGCUCUCCUAGGACGGUCCGACGGUGAGGGACGAAAGCCAGGGGAGCGAACCGGGAUUAGAUACCCCGGUAGU